GCAACUUCCUGAAGAGAAGCCUGAUCAUGGAGAAGAGAUUUCGCAUAAGAACAGAUUGUGCCAAGAGAAGAAUUUCACCGGGAGACAAUGAGGUCUGCAUGAAGACAUCGAACAGAUCUCAGCUUUCAACUCAAGACCAACAGAACAUGGUCAGAGACUGCAG